rnacentral:rRNA from 1 species
AUGGCUUCAAAGUUCUUCCUCCUUGCUCUUUUGGCUUUGUCGGCUUCUCAUGCUCUUGCCUCGGACCCGGGCCAGCUCCAGGAUUUCUGUGUCGCUGACAAGACAUCUCAAGUUUUUGUCAAUGGAUUCGCAUGCAAAGACCCAAAGACCGCGGUGGUAGAGGACUUCUACUUCUCUGGCCUCCACAUGGCCGGGAACACAAGCAACAAGCAAGGCUCCAUUGUGACUGCAGUUAACGUGGCACAGAUUGCUGGGCUGAACACUUUGGGCGUCUCAUUGGCUCGUGUUGAUUACGCACCCUAUGGUCAAAACCCACCACACCUUCACCCUCGUGCAACCGAGAUCCUGACAGUGUUGGAAGGCUCACUAUAUGUUGGUUUCGUGACUUCAAACCCCGAGAACAAGUUGUUCUCAAAAGUUUUGAACAAAGGGGACGUGUUUGUGUUUCCGCAAGGGCUGAUUCACUUUCAGUUCAACAUUGAAAACAACGAAGCGAUAGCCAUUGCGGCGCUGAGCAGCAAGAACCCUGGUGUGAUCACCAUAGCCAAUGCGGUCUUCGGAUCCAAGCAAACCAUCUCAGAUGAUAUCCUGGCCAAAGCCUUCCAGGUGGACAAGAACAUUGUAGACCAUAUCCAAGCUCAGUUCUAG